GCGAAAUAGGGGGGAGGAGGUUAGGUAAGGCGUAGGGGUGAGGUGUUGGCCGGAGUUAGUGGGCGUAAAGAGCGUGUAGGCGGCGUGGGAAGUCCUGUGUGAAAACUCGAGGCGCGACCGCGAGACGCCGGUGGAAACUGCAAAGCUAGAGUCCGGAAGAGGAGAGUGGAAUUCCUGGUGUAGCGGUGAAAUGCGCAGAUAUCAGGAAGAACACCCGUGGCGAAGGCGGCUCUCUGGGACGGUACUGACGCUGAGACGCGAAAGCGUGGGGAGCGAACAGGAUUAGAUACCCGUGUAGUC
rnacentral:rRNA from 1 species